CCUACGGGUGGCAGUAGUCGGGAAUAUUGCGCAAUGGAGGAAACUCUGACGCAGUGACGCCGCGUGCAGGAAGAAGGUUUUCGGAUUGUAAACUGCUUUAGACAGGGAAGAAAAAAGACAGUACCUGUAGAAUAAGCUCCGGCUAACUACGUGCCAGCAGCCGCGGUAAUACGGAGGGAGCAAGCGUUAUCCGGAUUUAUUGGGUGUAAAGGGUGCGCAGGCGGGCCUUUAAGCCGGCGGGGAAAUCGCGGGGCUAAACCCCGCCGAGCCGUCGGAACUGGGGGCCUUGAGUGCGGCGGAGGCAUGCGGAAUGCGCGGUGUAGCGGUGAAAUGCAUAGAGAUCGCGCAGAACCCCGAUUGCGAAGGCAGCGUGCCGUGCCGCCACUGACGCUGAGGCACGAAAGCGCGGGGAUCGAACAGGAUUAGAUACCCCUGUAGUC
rnacentral:rRNA from 1 species